GGUCCUUCAAACAAACACACACACAGACAGACAAACACAAGCUCAACAAACAGCAAGUAACCCCCAAACACAAACACACACUAUCAACAUCCACUUACCCCAAGUGAUUGUUAUCCUAGCUAACUGGAAUAUGAAGAACUACCUUAUCUGCCCUGCAUCAGUAGAACAAUGACCUAAAAUUACACGUUUGGUCAUGUGAUUCAAGUACACAACCCCUCAAGUAGAUUGCAUCAAGACAGUUACAUAAAGCUCUAUAGAGAUCUAACAGCUCAGCUCCUUAACACAAGGAGAAACUUUUAGGAAGGCCAACUAAUAAGAACACCAUCACCCAUUAGACAUCAAGACAGUGGAGCCUUCUCGCCUCACCAGAAGCAUGAUGUUUUGGAAAAAAUACCAGUACUUUUGUGGGGAUUUUCUUCAGUUUCCCUACCAGAUGCUAUUUCCUAUUCUCCUGUGAGAGCGACCACGGCACCUCCUUAAAGGGCU